GACGAACGCUGGCGGCGUGCUUAACACAUGCAAGUCGAACGCUGAAGCUUGGUGCUUGCACUGUGUGGAUGAGUGGCGAACGGGUGAGUAAUACGUGAGUAACCUGCCCUUGACUCUGGGAUAAGCCUGGGAAACUGGGUCUAAUACUGGAUACGACAUGUCACCGCAUGGUGGUGUGUGGAAAUGGUUUUACUGGUUUUGGAUGGGCUCACGGCCUAUCAGCUUGUUGGUGGGGUAAUGGCUCACCAAGGCGACGACGGGUAGCCGGCCUGAGAGGGUGACCGGCCACACUGGGACUGAGACACGGCCCAGACUCCUACGGGAGGCAGCAGUGGGGAAUAUUGCACAAUGGGCGGAAGCCUGAUGCAGCGACGCCGCGUGAGGGAUGACGGCCUUCGGGUUGUAAACCUCUUUCAGCACGGAAGAAGCGAAAGUGACGGUACGUGCAGAAGAAGCGCCGGCUAACUACGUG
rnacentral:rRNA from 1 species